UGGCGUGUAGGUGGUUUCGAUGAGAUCCAAUCUCAUCUUGAUAAGGAGUUAUCUUUGAAAUCAAAUUUCAAACCUUCCUUUUAUCAAAAUCAAUCCAUAUUUGGCAUUGAGAAAGGGGCGACAUCUAUGUUAUUGGCAUAGAGAAACUUUGUGCAAAACAUUUUUAGCAUGAAGAAAAAAUGGCAUCCAUAAUUGGGUGGCGCA
rnacentral:lncRNA from 1 species